rnacentral:rRNA from 1 species
UACGUAGGGACCAAGCGUUGUUCGGAUUUACUGGGCGUAAAGGGCGCGUAGGCGGUGUGUCAAGUCAGUUGUGAAAUCUCCGAGCUUAACUCGGAACGGUCAACUGAUACUGUCAUACUAGAGUACAGAAGGGGCAAUCGGAAUUCUUGGUGUAGCGGUGAAAUGCGUAGAUAUCAAGAGGAACACCUGAGGUGAAGACGGGUUGCUGGGCUGAUACUGACGCUGAGGCGCGAAAGCUAGGGUAG